rnacentral:rRNA from 1 species
GAUGAACGCUGGCGGCGUGCCUAAUACAUGCAAGUCGAGCGAACGGACGAGAAGCUUGCUUCUCUGAUGUUAGCGGCGGACGGGUGAGUAACACGUGGAUAACCUACCUAUAAGACUGGGAUAACUUCGGGAAACCGGAGCUAAUACCGGAUAAUAUUUUGAACCGCAUGGUUCAAAAGUGAAAGACGGUCUUGCUGUCACUUAUAGAUGGAUCCGCGCUGCAUUAGCUAGUUGGUAAGGUAACGGCUUACCAAGGCAACGAUGCAUAGCCGACCUGAGAGGGUGUUCGGCCACACUGGAACUGAGACACGGUCCAGACUCCUACGGGAGGCAGCAGUAGGGAAUCUUCCGCAAUGGGCGAAAGCCUGACGGAGCAACGCCGCGUGAGUGAUGAAGGUCUUCGGAUCGUAAAACUCUGUUAUUAGGGAAGAACAUAUGUGUAAGUAACUGUGCACAUCUUGACGGGACCUAAUCAGAAAGCCACGGCUAACUACGUG